UACGUAGGGGGCAAGCGUUGUCCGGAUUUAUUGGGCGUAAAGAGCGUGUAGGCGGCCUGAAAGGUCAGCUGUGAAAACUCGAGGCUCAACCUCGAGACGUCGGUUGAAACCAUCUGGCUAGAGUCCGGAAGAGGAGAGUGGAAUUCCCGGUGUAGCGGUGAAAUGCGCAGAUAUCGGGAAGAACACCCGUGGCGAGGGCGGCUCUCUGGGACGGUACUGACGCUGAGACGCGAAAGCGUGGGGAGCGAACAGG
rnacentral:rRNA from 1 species